rnacentral:rRNA from 1 species
GAUGAACGCUGGCGGCGUGCCUAAUACAUGCAAGUCGAGCGAACGGACGAGAAGCUUGCUUCUCUGAUGUUAGCGGCGGACGGGUGAGUAACACGUGGAUAACCUACCUAUAAGACUGGGAUAACUUCGGGAAACCGGAGCUAAUACCGGAUAAUAUUUUGAACCGCAUGGUUCAAAAGUGAAAGACGGUCUUGCUGUCACUUAUAGAUGGAUCCGCGCUGCAUUAGCUAGUUGGUAAGGUAACGGCUUACCAAGGCAACGAUGCAUAGCCGACCUGAGAGGGUGAUCGGCCACACUGGAACUGAGACACGGUCCAGACUCCUACGGGAGGCAGCAGUAGGGAAUCUUCCGCAAUGGGCGAAAGCCUGACGGAGCAACGCCGCGUGAGUGAUGAAGGUCUUCGGAUCGUAAAACUCUGUUAUUAGGGAAGAACAUAUGUGUAAGUAACUGUGCACAUCUUGACGGUACCUAAUCAGAAAGCCACGGCUAACUACGUGCCAGCAGCCGCGGUAAUACGUAGGUGGCAAGCGUUAUCCGGAAUUAUUGGGCGUAAAGCGCGCGUAGGCGGUUUUUUAAGUCCGAUGUGAAAGCCCACGGCUCAACCGUGGAGGGUCAUUGGAAACUGGAAAACUUGAGUGCAGAAGAGGAAAGUGGAAUUCCAUGUGUAGCGGUGAAAUGCGCAGAGAUAUGGAGGAACACCAGUGGCGAAGGCGACUUUCUGGUCUGUAACUGACGCUGAUGUGCGAAAGCGUGGGGAUCAAACAGGAUUAGAUACCCUGGUAGUCCACGCCGUAAACGAUGAGUGCUAAGUGUUAGGGGGUUUCCGCCCCUUAGUGCUGCAGCUAACGCAUUAAGCACUCCGCCUGGGGAGUACGACCGCAAGGUUGAAACUCAAAGGAAUUGACGGGGACCCGCACAAGCGGUGGAGCAUGUGGUUUAAUUCGAAGCAACGCGAAGAACCUUACCAAAUCUUGACAUCCUUUGACAACUCUAGAGAUAGAGCCUUCCCCUUCGGGGGACAAAGUGACAGGUGGUGCAUGGUUGUCGUCAGCUCGUGUCGUGAGAUGUUGGGUUAAGUCCCGCAACGAGCGCAACCCUUAAGCUUAGUUGCCAUCAUUAAGUUGGGCACCCUAAGUUGACUGCCGGUGACAAACCGGAGGAAGGUGGGGAUGACGUCAAAUCAUCAUGCCCCUUAUGAUUUGGGCUACACACGUGCUACAAUGGACAAUACAAAGGGCAGCGAAACCGCGAGGUCAAGCAAAUCCCAUAAAGUUGUUCUCAGUUCGGAUUGUAGUCUGCAACUCGACUACAUGAAGCUGGAAUCGCUAGUAAUCGUAGAUCAGCAUGCUACGGUGAAUACGUUCCCGGGUCU